AGAGUUUGAUCAUGGCUCAGAUUGAACGCUGGCGGCAGGCCUAACACAUGCAAGUCGAACGGUAACAGGAAGAAGCUUGCUUCUUUGCUGACGAGUGGCGGACGGGUGAGUAAUGUCUGGGAAACUGCCUGAUGGAGGGGGAUAACUACUGGAAACGGUAGCUAAUACCGCAUAACGUCGCAAGACCAAAGAGGGGGACCUUCGGGCCUCUUGCCAUCGGAUGUGCCCAGAUGGGAUUAGCUAGUAGGUGGGGUAACGGCUCACCUAGGCGACGAUCCCUAGCUGGUCUGAGAGGAUGACCAGCCACACUGGAACUGAGACACGGUCCAGACUCCUACGGGAGGCAGCAGUGGGGAAUAUUGCACAAUGGGCGCAAGCCUGAUGCAGCCAUGCCGCGUGUAUGAAGAAGGCCUUCGGGUUGUAAAGUACUUUCAGCGGGGAGGAAGGGAGUAAAGUUAAUACCUUUGCUCAUUGAUGUUACCCGCAGAAGAAGCACCGGCUAACUCCGUGCCAGCAGCCGCGGUAAUACGGAGGGUACAAGCGUUAAUCGGAAUUACUGGGCGUAAAGCGCACGCAGGCGGUUUGUUAAGUCAGAUGUGAAAUCCCCGGGCUCAACCUGGGAACUGCAUCUGAUACUGGCAAGCUUGAGUCUCGUAGAGGGGGGUAGAAUUCCAGGUGUAGCGGUGAAAUGCGUAGAGAUCUGGAGGAAUACCGGUGGCGAAGGCGGCCCCCUGGACGAAGACUGACGCUCAGGUGCGAAAGCGUGGGGAGCAAACAGGAUUAGAUACCCUGGUAGUCCACGCCGUAAACGAUGUCGACUUGGAGGUUGUGCCCUUGAGGCGUGGCUUCCGGAGCUAACGCGUUAAGUCGACCGCCUGGGGAGUACGGCCGCAAGGUUAAAACUCAAAUGAAUUGACGGGGGCCCGCACAAGCGGUGGAGCAUGUGGUUUAAUUCGAUGCAACGCGAAGAACCUUACCUGGUCUUGACAUCCACGGAAGUUUUCAGAGAUGAGAAUGUGCCUUCGGGAACCGUGAGACAGGUGCUGCAUGGCUGUCGUCAGCUCGUGUUGUGAAAUGUUGGGUUAAGUCCCGCAACGAGCGCAACCCUUAUCCUUUGUUGCCAGCGGUCCGGCCGGGAACUCAAAGGAGACUGCCAGUGAUAAACUGGAGGAAGGUGGGGAUGACGUCAAGUCAUCAUGGCCCUUACGACCAGGGCUACACACGUGCUACAGUGGCGCAUACAAAGAGAAGCGACCUCGCGAGAGCAAGCGGACCUCAUAAAGUGCGUCGUAGUCCGGAUUGGAGUCUGCAACUCGACUCCAUGAAGUCGGAAUCGCUAGUAAUCGUGGAUCAGAAUGCCACGGUGAAUACGUUCCCGGGCCUUGUACACACCGCCCGUCACACCAUGGGAGUGGGUUGCAAAAGAAGUAGGUAGCUUAACCUUCGGGAGGGCGCUUACCACUUUGUGAUUCAUGACUGGGGUGAAGUCGAAACAAGGUAACCGUAGGGGAACCUGCGGUUG
rnacentral:rRNA from 1 species